UACGUAGGGUGCAAGCGUUAAUCGGAAUUACUGGGCGUAAAGCGUGCGCAGGCGGUUUUGUAAGUCUGACGUGAAAUCCCCGGGCUUAACCUGGGAAUUGCGUUGGAGACUGCAAGGCUGGAGUCUGGCAGAGGGGGGUAGAAUUCCACGUGUAGCAGUGAAAUGCGUAGAGAUGUGGAGGAACACCGAUGGCGAAGGCAGCCCCCUGGGUCAAGACUGACGCUCAUGCACGAAAGCUGGGGGAGCAAACCGG
rnacentral:rRNA from 1 species